GAAGAUAAAUUAGCUGCAGCAGAAAAAGACAAAAGCUCUUGGUGAGCAGGCACGGUCUGAACAGAAAAGCCAGCCCUGAGGACUAUGUAGGGCGGCCGCCGGGAGUCCCCCGGGUCUGAAGAAACGCAAAGCAGCCUCGUGAGCAAAGCGCCCUCAGAGCAAACGGAGCCGUAGCAGCGAGGCUCUCGCCGGCCUGGGGCGGCUUCCCCAGCACCCUUCACACGGGCACCCUCGGAGCCCUCGGCCCUUUGGGUGUUCUGGACAUGGGGGGGCUGAUGGCAUGGUGGGGUGAGCGGCCCAGAGAAACGCAACUACUGUAAGCUUUGAUUUGUGACCUUCUAGCUGGAAAAUAAAAGAAAAAAGGGAAAGGAAACGAAAGAAAGCCUCUGGAAGGCAGCCAGGCCUGUAUGUGUGGAACUUGGAGACUGAGUCAAGGCCCGCGGGGCUGUUUCUAGGGGAAGAAUCAGGUGACCAGGCCGCUCACUCCACAGCUGUGGCUCUGCAUGAUCCUUGACUGGGAAAAGUUCUAAAAUUAAUAACUGAUAGACAACAGACACACACGAAACUUUUUGGUCGUCAUGGCUUAGUGAAGAAGAAAUGCGCAGCAGUAGAAUACCUGAAUCUAACUGCUCGUAGCUGGAGAACUGAAUUUCUCUUCCGUUGGCAGAGGAUCAGAACACGUUGCAGAAGUAAAUGCUGUCCAUCGUCACAAACAUUCCAGACCCAGCAAGUCUGGGGAUCGUUGCUGUGUUACUUUUAAUCUUGUGAAAAGACUCCCGGAGGCAGGCUGUGGGAACCGAUCUCCUCCAGGCUACUCAGAGCAGUUGCCCCUAGGAGGACACAUCAGAACCAGCAGACAUGCUGUCACUCAGCCCAGGGACACGCCAGAGGGGAUGCAGAGAGACCCAAAAGCAAGCAUCGGCUCUUUAUCUCAGGACGUGAUGGCAGCCUCAGUCCACCAGAGGAGCCACGUCACGCUGCUACCCAAAGAAGUGUAAGCUGCUUAAACCCUAACUGACCCCCCACUCUGGGCUAGUCUUCUAUGAGAUGGGUGUGCUGUUUGGGGGUGGGGAUUAAAGACUAAUUCCUCAUAGACUGUCAGCAACUCCAUCAGGAGAGAACUGAGGCAUGGGGGCGGGGGGUGUGGCAAGGAAAGGUACUAUUUAUUCAAAUGGCCAUCUCUUCAAAGAGAGGCACCAUCCUAUUUGGUAACAACUGUUGCUUCCAGCCUUCAUAGCUUACAACUACCUAUAGACGACUGCCUAGAUAGUUUUAUGUCUCAAUUUUAAGCUUUGUUUUCUAGUGGCUAAUCAUCUAUUCUACCCAGUUUCCAAGAUAGCCGUAAGGAGCCUCACUUCCUGAGAUUCAUGGCCUCGAAAAGCUGCCUCCCACAUGAAUGAGGGCAACAUAUAAUUCCACAACCAUCUCUAUCAUUAUCUAGGUUGUUAGAAUGUUUUGCUGUUAAAAACAACCAUGAAACUAAUACCAAUGGAUGUAUUUAAUAAAAAUUAUACUUAUAGUAGUUAAAAA